ACUCAAAUGAAUUGACGGGGGCCCGCACAAGCGGAGGAACAUGUGGUUUAAUUCGAUGAUACGCGAGGAACCUUACCCGGGUUUAAAUGUAGAUUGCAUAAGGUAGAAAUAUUUUUUUCCUUCACAGGACUAUCUACAAGGUGCUGCAUGGUUGUCGUCAGCUCGUGCCGUGAGGUGUCGGGUUAAGUCCCAUAACGAGCGCAACCCUUGCUAUUAGUUGCCAGCAUGUAAUGAUGGGAACUCUAAUAGGACUGCCGCCGUAAGGCGUGAGGAAGGAGGGGAUGACGUCAAAUCAGCACGGCCCUUACAUCCGGGGCGACACACGUGUUACAAUGGCCGGUACAGAGGGCAGCUACAUAGCGAUAUGAUGCUAAUCUCAAAAACCGGUCGUAGUUCGGAUCGGAGUCUGCAACUCGACUCCGUGAAGCUGGAUUCGCUAGUAAUCGCAUAUCAGCCAUGAUGCGGUGAAUACGUUCCCGGGCCUUGUACACACCGCCCGU
rnacentral:rRNA from 1 species